rnacentral:rRNA from 1 species
GGACUACUCGGGUAUCUAAUCCUGUUUGCUCCCCACGCUUUCGUGUCUCAGUGUCAGUACUCGUCCAGUUGGCCGCCUUCGCCACAGGUGUUCCUCUCGAUAUCUACGAAUUUCACCUCUACACCGAGAAUUCCACCAACCUCUCCGGUACUCUAGCUACGCAGUAUCGGGUGCACUUCCUGAGUUGAGCCCAGGGCUUUCACAUCCGACUUUCGCAGCCACCUACACACGCUUUACGCCCAGUAAUUCCGAACAACGUUUGCACCCUCUGUCUUACCGCGGCGGCUGGCAC